CAGACACACACACGCACAGCACAGCUUUAUUUGAUAUCCUUGGACUGAUACAUUUAGAGAGUGCAUCUGGCCAAGGGAGAGAGGGCCAGGUGGCCGUGGCAGAGGGAACAGGAGGUGCAGCACUGACUGCGGGUGCUCUGCAGAUGAUAAACCCAAACCCAGCCCUACAGGUUGCCUCACAGGCUGAAGUAAUAGGGGUUUGUGAAAUAAGGAGCAGUCAAUAAGGAGCAUGGAUGGACGGCGACUAUCUCAUGAAAACACGCAACAUGAGGGUCUGUCAAGGGAGAACCAUUGAGUCAGAGGCAGCAACAGUAACAGUGGCUUGACCGCGGCUGGCGCUGCUUUUCUGGUCCAGCAGCAAAAGCUGGUAACGCCUGAAGGACUGGAAGGACCCCAGACAGCAUCACCCCCCCCAGACAGCAUCACCACCAGAACCAGAGACGAGGACGAAGGACCAAAGAGACCAACCUACGAGCAGACCACAGGGGAGUCACUCCAUUGACCUAAGGAUGUCGCGGUCUUCCAGGUGUGUUUUCCCAUUCUGAGGUUUGUCCUUCCUUCCUCUGCAGGACCGGAGCAGACUCAAAAACCAACACAGGUUUUCCCGGUCCCAGCCCCAACACCAGCACCAAUCCUGGACACAGCACCGACCAAUCUCAACUGCUACCUUCAUCCAGCAACUGCCAGCUACCUCUUCCCCUCCCCAACACAAAGACACAAACACACCGUCAACAACUCUACCUGACCAACCAUAGCUGACUGACUAACAAAUUGAAGGAUUGAUGAUUGUUACAUGAUAUUUGUUUGAAUUAAUAUAUUUUUUGUUUUUGGUAAUUGUUUUUUGUGAUUUUAUUUUUGUUGAUUUGAUUAACUUUAAGUUAGAUUAUCGCUUAUUUUUUGUUAGAAUAUUUGUGGGGAAAGAUUAUCAACAUUUUAUUUGAAAUUUGACCACUUAACGAUUUUUGAAAUAUCCCAAUAAAUUGACCUAAAUGAAUAUAAGGAAGCCUAUACAGAAUAAAUAUAUUCUAAAACAUGCAUCCUGUUUGCAAUAAAACAGUAAAACCACAAAGAAAUGAACUUUAUGGCCCGAAUACAAAGCGUUAUGUUUGGGGCAAAUCCAACACAACACAUCCAUGUGUACCACUUUUUCAUAUUUUCAAGCAUGGUGAUGGCUGCAUCAUAAUAUGGGUAUUUUUUAUUUUACCUUUAUUUAACUGGGCAAGUCAGUUAAGAACAAAUUCUUAUUUUCAAUGAUGGCCUAGUGGGUUACCUGCCUGUUCAGGGGCAGAACGACAGAUUUGUACCUUGUCAGCUCGGGGAUAUGAACUUGCAUGUCCAACGCUCUAACCACUAGGCUUCCCUGCCCCAUGCUUGUCAUUGGCAAGGACUAGGGAGAUUUUGGGGGAAUAAAAAUAAACGGAAUAGAGCUAAGCACAGGCAAAAUCCUAGAGGAAAACGUGGUUCAGUCGGCUUUCAAACUGACACUGGGAGACAAAUUCACCUUUCAGCAGGAAAUAACCUAAAACACAAGGCCAACUAUACACGGGAAUUGGUUACCAAGAUGACAUUGUAUGUUCAUGAGUGGCCUAUGUACAGUCUUGACUUAAAUCAGCUUGAAAAUCUAUGGCAAGAUUUGAAAAUGGCUGUCUAGCAAUGACAGCCUACUUGACAGAGCUUGAAUAUUUCUUUUAAGAAUAAUGUGCAAAUAUUGUACAAUCCAAGUGAUUCUAACAUGUGUUCUCAGGGGGUUGAAUAGUAUUUAAUGAAGAUAUAUGAGUGUUUUAUUUUUCCUUCAUUUUUUUACAAAUGUUUGAAUUUUUAUUCCACUUUGACAUUACAGAUUAUUUUCUGUAGAUCGUUGACAAAAAUGACAAUUAAAUCCAUUUGAAUCCCACUCUGUUACACAACAAAAUGUGGAAGAAGUCAAGGGUUGUGAAUACCUUCUGAAGAUACUGUACACACACACACACACACACACACAAACACACACACACACACACACAAACACACACACACACACACACACACAAAACAAACACACACACACACACACACAAAUCAGAAACAUCUGCAUCUAUGCAAAGUUUAAACAUCCUGAAGACGAUUGUGUGCUUAUAUAUAUAGCUGCGUGUGCUCACUUUGGUGUAUACCUGUGUGCAAAUGCAUUAGUGUGUGCUGGCUCCAUUGUAAAUGUUUGGAACUACACGCGAGUGUGUGCGUGUAUGUGUGUGGGUUAUUUUGGGUUUGUGUGGAUCUAUACGGUUAAACCCUCAAGUGUGUGUUUGUAACUACGCUCAUGGGCCUUUGUUGAGUCUUAUAUGAACCCAUGGUGUUCCAUUCAUUGUAGCUUUUAAGAAUAUUAAAUUGUAUCCUUUAGAAUGGCUUGGGGUGGCCACCUGCCGUACAAAUUACAAAGGAGCAACAGCAUGACAGAUGUAUGAAGACUAGGUCAUAUGGUCAAAGAAUUUUUCAUAAUUGUGCCCAUUGUUAUGUGUGCCACUCAAAUCAAGCAGCGUUGUCCGCAUAGAUAUAACCUCUGAUACCGAAAGUGUUAAACAUGAAUAAAUCAUAAAUGC
ensembl:lncRNA